rfam:Aureococcus anophagefferens unplaced genomic scaffold ATRANscaffold_698, whole genome shotgun sequence.
ACUGCUGUGUUCUAAUGGUAGGAAUCACGACUUUAGCUCGUGCAGUCGGCGUUCGAUUCGCUGCGGCAGAG